rnacentral:rRNA from 1 species
UACAGGGGGUGCAACCGUUGCUCGGAAUCAUUGGGCGUAAAGCGCACGUAGGCGGACUGUUAAGUCGGGGGUGAAAUCCUGGGGCUCAACCUCAGAAUUGCCUCCGAUACUGGCAGUCUCGAGUGCGGGAGAGGUGAGUGGAAUUCCCAGUGUAGAGGUGAAAUUCGUAGAUAUUGGGAAGAACACCAGUGGCGAAGGCGGCUCACUGGCCCGUAACUGACGCUGAGGUGCGAAAGCGUGGGGAGCAAACAGG